UUUUAAUUGCCAAAGCGUGGACAGGCGAGUUUUCGCGCUGGUAUUGCCACAGGAUUUGCGUGGAAAUCAGCGACAGGAGCAGCACAAAAUUUGGGUUUAAUGGCAUUGCGUGAGGGUAGCGCAUUAGGGAAGAAAUUCAGAGGAAAAAAUAACAAGAGCAGAUCGCACACGUAAGUACUGCUCUAAAAUAAUUGUUAUAUUUAUGUCUGCCUGUUUGUUCGGCAUUUUUUUUUACACAACACAAACACUAUGGUACUUGUAAUAACAAUUAACAAUUAACUUUUUAUGGGGUCAUGCAUGUUGUUGGACAUAUAAUAAAUGUUUGUAAAUGCCACCUAUCGAUUCUGUUAUUUUUUAUCCCACUCCCUACGUGCUAAUUAUAUAAUUUACAGCAGCAUAUGCUUCCAGUUAGUAGUGCUGUAAAUAUGAGGCAUUAAUGCGAAUAUAUGUGGCGCCCGCUUGGUGGCCUCUGACUUGAAUCAGUCGUGAGGCAUAAGCGCACAUCCGUAUUAAUGUCUGAAUCGAUUCGUCCGCCAGUCUCCGGCGCUCCAGAAAUUACCGCAUAUGUGUAAGAGUGAGUGUGGGCUCGACGGAUGCUUCACUUGGCCGGCGUUAUGAUAAUUGAGACUGAUUGACCAGUUCGAGCAACUGAUGGAAUCGUUAAACCCAAAUAUAAUGUAACAAAAGCGAAAAAUUGCUAAGAGUUCACCUAUACCAUUGUUUCUGAUAACAAAAUAUUGAAUUUCUUAGGAGCUUUAAAUAUGUGCAUACAAAUUGUUAUUAUAUUAUUUU
ensembl:ncRNA lncRNA:CR44702 long non-coding RNA:CR44702